rnacentral:rRNA from 1 species
UACGUAGGGCGCAAGCGUUGUCCGGAAUUAUUGGGCGUAAAGAGCUCGUAGGCGGUUUGUCGCGUCUGCUGUGAAAACCUAAGGCUCAACCUUGGGCUUGCAGUGGGUACGGGCAGACUGGAGUACUGCAGGGGAGACUGGAAUUCCUGGUGUAGCGGUGGAAUGCGCAGAUAUCAGGAGGAACACCCGGUGGCGAAGGCGGCCCCCUGGGCCGG